rnacentral:rRNA from 1 species
UGCAAGUCGAACGAAGUAGCAAUACUUAGUGGCAGACGGGUGAGUAACAUGUGGGUAUCUACCCUUUGGCCUGGAAUAACACGAGGAAACUUGUGCUAAUACCGGAUAAGUCUUUACGGAGAAAGCUUUAUGCACCAUUGGAUGAGCCCGCACUUGAUUAGUUUGUUGGUAGGGUAAUGGCCUACCAAGACUAUGAUCAAUAGCUGAUUUGAGAGGAUGAUCAGCCACAUUGGGACUGAGACACGGCCCAAACUCCUACGGGAGGCAGCAGUGGGGAAUCUUGCACAAUGGAGGAAACUCUGAUGCAGCGAUGCCGCGUGAGUGAAGAAGGCCUUUGGGUUGUAAAGCUCUUUCGUCGGGGAAGAAAAUGACUGUACCCGAAUAAGAAGGUCCGGCUAACUUCGUGCCAGCAGCCGCGGUAAUACGAAGGGACCUAGCGUAGUUCGGAAUUACUGGGCUUAAAGAGUUCGUAGGUGGUUGAAAAAGUUGGUGGUGAAAUCCCAGAGCUUAACUCUGGAACUGCCAUCAAAACUUUUCAGCUAGAGUAUGAUAGAGGAAAGCAGAAUUUCUAGUGUAGAGGUGAAAUUCGUAGAUAUUAGAAAGAAUACCAAUUGCGAAGGCAGCUUUCUGG